AGCCUAAAUCGAUUUUUUAAUCCUCCUAUUGAUACAUUCAAGAUUUGCAGGAGCCACCACCUGAUUUGUUUCAAUCUAGACUUCCAGAACGCCCCAAGUCUCCUAAAUCAUCUCCUCCGCUUUGAACUCAGGUGAGGAAUGAUUCCCCUAAGUCAAUUUGGGGUUUCAAGAAGGUUUGUAGUGGUAUUGGGACUCAUCGGAAUUGAACCUCGCUCAAUAGAUUCUGGGUUCUUAGUCUGAAGUCGUAGGGGAGGCGACUAGACAAAAUGUCAUGACGAUGCAUGAAGUUCUAGUGAUUGCGGUUUGGUCACUUGACUUAUUGAGGCCAUAUCUACUCACCUAAGUCUUUCUAAAUGGCAAGUGUAAAACAAUACAAUGUUGACAGGUUGGUUAAUAACUGGUCCUAUGUAACUGUCGUGACCCUAAACUUUGGGAUUAUGACAUUUUGACCCAAAU
rnacentral:lncRNA from 1 species